GCCGCCGCCUCCUGAACCACUGACCCCUGCAAGUCCACCGAGCAAAGGAGGAAUCAAGAAUAAAAUCUGGAUAAUUGUAGUGAUUGUGGCUGUCGUACUUCUGUUAUUAUGCAUCCUUCUUGCCAUUAUCUGGACUCGAUCAACAUGCAUAUACAAGAGUAACAUGAACUCACAAUUUCACGAAGUAGCACCAUCGGGCACAGAGGAAGCUAUCAUGCUCUGGGGGAUGGAAGAGGGCCACUCUGAGUUUUCGAUGUUCGAGUUCUCUCAAAUUGCAGAUGCCACAAAUAACUUCUCAGAAGGAAAUAAACUUGGCGAGGGUGGAUUUGGUCGUGUCUACAAGGUGAACUAUUUAACAUAUCUAUAUCGCCUACAAUAAUUUAAGUGUUAAACUAAGAGGACCAACUAUGUAUGACAACCAAGGUAGAAUUUCAAUAUUUUGUUGAUCACAGUUAUCGUAGGAAGUGGCAAGGGCAAUGACACCAGUCACAAUCAUUCGUCAAAGCUUGUGUCUUGUUUAAAACAUAACCAACAUACUUAAUUUGUAACCUUGUGGACUAGUUCGUCAUCUUGACUCGUUAUACUCAAGUAUCCCAUGGAACUCCGAAUUUUUUUAAUUUCAUUUGAUAGUUUUAAUAGACUUAUGAUUGAUAUUCAAAGGCCUAUUUACAAAGAUUCAAUGGUAAUUAUUUCUAGUUCCAGGUAAUAGGUAAGAUUUCAAAAUUACAACUUGUGGAACUUAUAAAUUUUGACAUAAGGUAAGCAGAUUAUGUUAGACAUGUGGCCUAACGAGGAGAACAUAACUGUUUCUUGGACCACAUACUGGUUUUUGAAUGAU